rnacentral:rRNA from 1 species
CACGUAGGGCGCGAGCGUUGUCCGGAUUUAUUGGGCGUAAAGAGCUCGUAGGCGGCUUGUUGCGUCGGCUGUGAAAACCCGUGGCUUAACUGCGGGCUUGCAGCUGAUACGGGCGGGCUAGAGUUCGGUAGGGGAGACUGGAAUUCCUGGUGUAGCGGUGAAAUGCGCAGAUAUCAGGAGGAACACCGGUGGCGAAGGCGGGUCUCUGGGCCGAUACUGACGCUGAGGAGCGAAAGCGUGGGGGAGCGAACAGG